rnacentral:rRNA from 1 species
GAUGAACGCUGGCGGCGUGCCUAAUACAUGCAAGUCGAGCGAACGGACGAGAAGCUUGCUUUUCUGAUGUUAGCGGCGGACGGGUGAGUAACACGUGGAUAACCUACCUAUAAGACUGGGAUAACUUCGGGAAACCGGAGCUAAUACCGGAUAAUAUUUUGAACCGCAUGGUUCAAAAGUGAAAGACGGUCUUGCUGUCACUUAUAGAUGGAUCCGCGCUGCAUUAGCUAGUUGGUAAGGUAACGGCUUACCAAGGCAACGAUGCAUAGCCGACCUGAGAGGGUGAUCGGCCACACUGGAACUGAGACACGGUCCAGACCCCUACGGGAGGCAGCAGUAGGGAAUCUUCCGCAAUGGGCGAAAGCCUGACGGAGCAACGCCGCGUGAGUGAAGAAGGUCUUCGGAUCGUAAAACUCUGUUAUUAGGGAAGAACAUAUGUGUAAGUAACUGUGCACAUCUUGACGGUACCUAAUCAGAAAGCCACGGCUAACUACGUG